GAUGAACGCUGGCGGCGUGCCUAAUACAUGCAAGUCGAGCGAACAGACGAGGAGCUUGCUCCUUUGACGUUAGCGGCGGACGGGUGAGUAACACGUAGGUAACCUACCUAUAAGACUGGGAUAACUUCGGGAAACCGGAGCUAAUACCGGAUAAUAUUUCGAACCGCAUGGUUCGAUAGUGAAAGAUGGCUUUGCUGUCACUUAUAGAUGGACCUGCGCCGUAUUAGCUAGUUGGUAAGGUAACGGCUUACCAAGGCAACGAUACGUAGCCGACCUGAGAGGGUGAUCGGCCACACUGGAGCGGAGACAGGGUCAAGACUCCUGCGGGAGGGAGCAGUAGGGAAUCUUCCGCAAUGGGCGAAAGCCUGACGGAGCAACGGCGCGUGAGUGAUGAAGGUCUUCGGAGCGUAAAGAUCUGUUAUUAGGGAAGAACAAACGUGGAAGUAACUGUGCACGUCUUGACGGUACCUAAUCAGAAAGCCACGGCUAACUACGUG
rnacentral:rRNA from 1 species